GUAAUGCGGCACUGAGCUCGCUGCGGGCGUCGCCCUGGGUUCGGCCGGCGGCCGCAGCACUGCCGCGAGGGGCUCCCGCGGCCGGAGUCCCCUGUUUUCGUGAGCACACCUUCGUGGGCUUCAGGUGCCCAGCCUGGAGGGCCUGUCCCAAGCCAGCGUUCCUUGGCUCAGGAACCACCCGCUUGGCCUGUCGGAUGGGGCUGGGGCCAGCCCGCAGUUCUGCCUUCUGAGCUUGCCCGCUUGAACUGGGGCGCCGACGCUGCCUGGGCGGAGUCGGGGGCCUCUUCUCAGGGCGUGGUGCUUGGAAGUUGAUCCGGCUCUGAAACCGUACCGGGUCGGGAGCCUGACCGGUGACCGGAGGAGGUGGGCUCUUGGUAAAGAGCUAGACCCACCGAGAGUGAGGGAGGCCUGGUGAGGGCCCCACCGGGAGCUUAGAACCGGCGGGAGAGUCUGAAUGUUGGAAGCAGGAAACUUCUGUUCCUUGAGUAAGCGCUGUUUUAUCAUCUGCAUUGUACCAGAUCGUGCAUGGUGGGGCUCAGAGGCAGAGAUUAAACGUCACCGUAGAUUGUUCUUCGGAGUUUUUGCCUUGGAACACUUUAAACUUAUCGAGAGAAUAGUAUACAAACGUCUGCGUAUCCACCCCUACCUCACCCGCUGACUUUUGCAGCAGGCCAGAAUGCAAGGUCCCAGAUUAUUGGAUCUAUAAAACAGUGACAAUUUCACCAAGAAGGAAUGCACAUAAACCACAAAAGCAACUCAUGGAAAAGAGCUGCUCCUGUUGCAGGUGGCCAAUAACACUGCUUUAGGUCAUGAAAUUAGUAUCUCAUGAUAAAUACUCUGGGUGAAGACUGCAUAGAUUGGGAUACAAAUGCACAUUCAGAAGAAGCACUGCUGAUCAGGGCACAUGGAGCGGGGUACUGGAAACAUCCAGAGGUCCUUAAGACUUCUCCUCCUCAUCUUUAAUUUCGGAAAUUCUGUCUAUAGAUUUAAGAAUUUCAGCAACAAAAUUCAGUGUUUCAGCUCCAGAAACCAGUUGCCUGAAAUGGAAAUAGAUAUUGGGGACUGUUAACUACAGCUGAUCAAUAGCAAUGAAUUAGCCAUGCAUGUGGUGCCUGUCUAUAAUCCCAGCAACUCAGGAGGGUAAGGCAGGAUCAUAAAUUCAAGGCUAGCCUGGGCAACUUAGCAAGACUCUCAAAAAUAAAAAAGGGCUGUGGUUGUGGCUAAGCACCUCUUAUUCAAUCCCUGGUACCAAAAAAUAAAAAAGGGCUUAGGGCAUAGCUCAGUAGUACAGUGCUCCUGUGUCCAGAACUAAACACACGCAAAAAAGUAAUAGUGGAACUAAAGUAAAGAAGUUCCAGAGUAAAAAACCCCUUAGACCCACUGAUGGCUUUGCUCAAAAGGACAGUGGUCUUCAUUGCCGUGAGCACCUGCAGUGCAGCUACACUGCUGUCCUGCGGAGAUCAGCCCAGUGGAAACCAAGUUCAGCUGGUUCCCAAGUUAAGAUGGUUUGACUUUACAAAGGUGUGGAAGCCAUGCACAUUCCAGACACUGAACUCCGAAUUUGAUCUUUUCCCAUGUUACCCUUGAGAUGCUGGGUAGCAACAGCACACUUCAUGCAUACAAUCUUGGGAGAUACUCAGGACUUCACACUGCUGUGCUGCUAAGCUCUGGUGUCUGGCAGAUUAAGUAUAUUAAAUGCAUUUUCAACAGUCAAUACUGUCAAGUUACAGUGAGUUUACAGGGAUGUGGCUCCGUGUAAGUCAAGGAGCACCUGUGGUCAUUAUUAGUAAUGACAGCAAAUCACAUCGUCAUUGUGCUGUUUAGUGUCUUCUAUGAAUUCAUUCAGUUAUUACAACAGAAGGGAAGCUAUCAUCUCCUUUAUCUAGAAUCUCAGCAUCCUGCAGGUUAAGGAGCUGGACUUGGGUCUUUGUGAUGAUGUCCAUGCCUCUCAAGUGGGGACAGUUUCUUCAAGGCAGGUUAGAAAGACUGCUCAGCUACCCAUACCAUGACCUGGAGAUUUAAUGGAUCCCCCUAUAACAUGCCUCCCUCCCUACAAGUGCCCUGGCCCAGCCCUAGACCAAGAGCCUAGGCUAUCACCCAAAUAGCUAGUGGCAUUCCAGUCUCACCCUUCACCUGUUGCAGGGCUUCCAGCCCCCAGCACUUACUUGAUGGAUGCAUGCGCACUGUUCAUGACAACACGGAGAUUCUGUAAGGCCACGUCAGUGUUCUGCUUUACCACCGUUAGGCUGGCACCCUGGCCUGACCUCAGGGCUUCAUUCUCACGCUUGAAGUUGGAGACCUGUGCCUGGGAGAGAUGGGUGGGCCAAGCAUGACACAAUGUCAAAGGACACUGGUCCACUGAAUGAGAGCUGCACACUCGAAACUGUGGGCAUCUGCCUGACCUCAGUCCAGCUGGGCCUUCUCUGGAGCUUCCUCCCCAUCCCACAGGCAACAGCCUUCCGUACCGUCAUCAGCUCCAGGUUCUGCUCCACCUGCUGGACUACUGACUCCAGGUCGUGGUAGUCACUCUCCUCCUUGAUCAUCUUUGCUUCUAGCUUCCGCUCAAGCGUCCUUACCCUUGUCAGAGGAAAAACCCCAGCUGUUAAGUUCAUUUGGCCACUUUUGAGAACACUUCUAAAAGCACUUUAAUGUGAUUAGCUGGAUAAAAGCGACUCAGAGCCUGUGUUUAGAGCAUGUCCUCAGACAGAGGCAAGACAGCAGUGACCUAGCACAUAUGCACAGGCUCGGGGAGCUGCCCAAGCUCUGCCCAUCCAGUGAGAAGUUAGGUUGGUUUGGGUCUAACCCUUAAAAAGUUUUCACAGAGCACAAGAAAUGUGCUUGAUACUAAAAAUUUACAACAAAACCCAGACAUUAGUUCAACUCUGGGCACUUCAUCAUCACUUAGACGUUGACUUCCCUUUGUGGUAAAUGUUUUGAGUUGACUCCUAACUAAUAGCUUACAUACAUUUCUGUUUGAGUUUCAGAGAAGCUCUGAACCUCAUUCAGCUUUCUUCUUAGCUUAGAAUUUUCAUCUUUCAGCUGUAGAAAAAGAAAAUCCUUAUUAGAAACUCAGUGUGUCUCACUCAAAAGGGGUAUGUGCUUCUGCAGCGGGCUCUGGAACAACUUUUUUGUGAUACUGGGGCUCAAACCCAGUACACUGAGGUUGGCUUUGAACUCACUAUCCUCUCACCUCAGCCUCCUGAGCUGGUGGGAUUAUAAGUGUGCACCACCGCACUUUUUAAUAAAUAGAAACACCCAUGGAACUGGAGUCAAUCUGCAGCAUGCUUACAUAGAUGACCCAUAGUCACAGACUCUCGUUCUACCUCUGGCUUGUAAUGUUUUUAGGUGAUUAUCAUUUUUAAACAUCUCCUUCACUAAGAACACUCAGCAAGAUGUCCCUGAACCAAGGGUGCCAGCUGUCCUUUAUCCCAGUCUCCUCCUGAUACAUCACAACACCUCUUAGUUAGCUGUGCUCACACAUAACCAGUGCCAGUGUGAGAGGAGGGCUCUCCACAGGAGUUCUAUAGCAGGCUGUUACACAACCGUUUUGUCCCUGGAGCCAGAACCAGGCCACCCAGGAGUAGCAUGGCCCCAGUCCUCCUCUGGGAGAACACCGCUCAGACCCUUGCCCUGUGCCUGUGCGCCAGCCCCUCACUUACUGCUUCGUAACUUAUCUGCAGCGUCCGCAGGUGUCUGUCUCCCAGAGACUCCCCAUGAGUUGUAAACUCUGCAAGAGGACUCCCUGCUGGAGAUGCCAGAGAGAUGCGUGAAUCUGUGUCACUCAGUGUCCAGGGGGGCAGAGACUCAGGUCCCGCCAGCUCCGAUGGGGUGGAGAAAAAGGAAAGGUACGUGCCACAGGGUGAUGUGCUGGCCGUGACCCUGGAGGAGUGAGUCUUCUCCACAGCAGACGGCAAAUAGGCCCCAUUCCACCCACUGUCUUCAUCUUCCUCCUCCUCAUCCAGGACGUCACCAGCCCCUGUGGGGUCUUCAAAAAAUGGCUGCUGAUAUUCCAGGCCAUACCCCACAGUCUGGGGAGCAGGGGAGCUGUGGUCCAGUCCCAGUGAGUGCCUCGAGGCUUCCUAAAAAUAGUAGAGGCAAACACUGAGAAUCAGAGGCCACUGCUCACCCUUCUUUCUCUUUGUCCCGCCUGGAACAUAACAAGAAAGGCCCAUCUGUUGACUAGAGGGGCCAAAUAGCUGCUGAACCCCCAGCGCCCCUCCUCUGCAGCAGCUCUCUUGUCUCACUCACACAUCUCCAAGCACCAGGACUCAGAGAGAUGUCCCCUGAAAUGACUGCAGCAGCUUCUCAGACGUACCUUUGGAAAAAUUCUGCUAUUGGUCGUGUCCUCUUUCGACAGACCGAGGUUCUUGGUUUUCAGAAAUUCUUUAAAGGAGAAUGGAUUUGCCUCUUCAAGGUCUUCCAGUUUGUCAUCUGAAAGGAUGGAGAUCACGAAGAUUGUUAAAGGAGAACUCUCCAACUCCUCUCUUCCAAGCAAGACUGCAUCUUCUCAGGAAUGCCAUCCUCUGUACCCCGCUACUCAGAUGACACCAGGAAACAAGAACUGCCAGAAAAGGGAUCGAUAAACAGAUGCUUCUGCAGCAUCUGCAAUUCUUUCCAUUUCUCACUCCUGGAGUUCCACAGGAACCCCUUGGGGAUUUUUUUUUUUUUUUUUGGGUGGUGCUGGGGAUUGAACCCAGGGUUUCACACAAGCUAGGUAAGUGCUCUGUCAAUGAGCUACACCCAGGGGUCUGUAUCAUGGGCCUGUGUCUACUUCACAACCAGUCACUGGUGAGACAAUAAACUG